ACACAGGGGGAUAACAGUUAGAAAUGACUGCUAAUACCGCAUAAGCGCACAGUACCGCAUGGUACAGUGUGAAAAACUCCGGUGGUGUGAGAUGGAUCCGCGUCUGAUUAGGUAGUUGGUGGGGUAACGGCCCACCAAGCCGACGAUCAGUAGCCGACCUGAGAGGGUGACCGGCCACAUUGGGACUGAGACACGGCCCAAACUCCUACGGGAGGCAGCAGUGGGGAAUAUUGCACAAUGGGCGAAAGCCUGAUGCAGCGACGCCGCGUGAGUGAAGAAGUAUCUCGGUAUGUAAAGCUCUAUCAGCAGGGAAGAAAAUGACGGUACCUGACUAAGAAGCCCCGGCUAACUACGUGCCAGCAGCCGCGGUAAUACGUAGGGGGCAAGCGUUAUCCGGAUUUACUGGGUGUAAAGGGAGCGCAGACGGCGAUGCAAGUCUGGAGUGAAAGCCCGGGGCUCAACCCCGGGACUGCUUUGGAAACUGUAUGGCUAGAGUGCUGGAGAGGCAAGCGGAAUUCCUAGUGUAGCGGUGAAAUGCGUAGAUAUUAGGAAGAACACCAGUGGCGAAGGCGGCUUGCUGGACAGUAGCUGACGUUCAGGCUCGAAAGCGUGGGGAGCAAUUAACU
rnacentral:rRNA from 1 species